rnacentral:SRP_RNA from 1 species
AGUCAGGAACCAUGCGAGGAGAGACCGCCCAACCCCGCCAGGUCCGGAAGGAAGCAACGGCAAGUGGUUUUCUUCUGCGCCGUGGCCUCCCUGUCUGCG